UAAUGGUAACACUCCUGAUUUUUUAUCAAUGGACUUCAAAAUGGACUGAUAAGAUGUGAAAAUUUUUGAAAAUUUCCGAAAAUUUUCACCAUGUCGAAAGAACUUGGUAAAUCGUACGUAUUUUUCAAAAAUUUAUAUCGACCAGGCGGAAUAACUCCCUCCAGAGAUAAGAAGCUGAGCUUCAUUGAAAAACUCAUAGUUGCUUAUAUGUUAAAAACUAGGAAAUUUACAGAAAUUCCCAACACUAUAAGCUAUUUCGAAUGGGAUUAUGUAAAGGGCAGAUUCAAAUUCAGGAUGGUGAUCGCAGCUAUGAUAUUUUCACCUGUAUAUUGUUGGUUUUUAAUUGGUAAGCCUGUAUACAAGUAUCAAGACAAAUGGCUGGAAAAAGCAGAGAAGAAAAAAUACGGUGAAACGCGUGAAAAUGAAACGUUCUAUAGAUGGGUUGCGCCGAAACCGGAAGUGUAGAUUAUCGAAUAAGUAUAAAAAACCCUGUAAAUUGAUUGUUCUCUCGUGUUUGUUAAUUUCUGUGUACUAGAAUAAAUUAUUUAUACAAUGUAAA